GAAACAUCAUUCAGUAAAGAUAGAGUUUUGGAGUUGAAAAAUUCACACGUUUCUGUGAUUUAUUUUUCUCGUGAUUGACUACUCAUUGGUGGUUUUAUUACAUCUCUACUGUAAAUGAACUGUUAAUUCCUAAUUACGAUCGUGAUACGAAACCCCCGAUUUUGCUUCAUAACUCACCUUUUUUCCAUGGAGACAAAAUCGAAGUCUACAGCAGCAUUCUCAGAUUGCGUAUCUCAUUUUUAUGGAGACCUACAAUCAACGAUUCACUUGUCGGGACAAUAAAACACUGGACACAAUCCGAAGAAAACAAAAGACCUACAUUGAUAUUUUUAGGAAUGGCUACUCAUUUUAUGCUUCAAAUGAAUGGUGCAAGUUAUGGACUUUACGAAGAAAGAAUAAGGGAACUGAGUGCCAUUCUCGGACAAUUGACUGAUUUCAGUAAAGUUAUAUGGCUUAAUCAAUACCCAACUGUGGAAUUGUAUGGAGACACCGAUUCACACAACACUGAUGUUCAUUCCCGCAAGAUUCAUCAGUACAAUGAAGUCACUCGGAAAAUAUUGAAGAAACAAAGAAGGGUACGUAUUUGGGAUUCAAGUAAUCAAUUUGCAGAAGAAUACGUUCGUGGCUGUGCCAUUACAUUUGGACGAUUUACUCCAAUUUACUUUGACUGCCAGGACUUUAUCCACACUGGAUAUGUAGCUCUUUCAGAAGCAACGCAAUUGUUAUAUAAUGAUAUCUGUAAUGCAAAAAUACGGCACAGAAGUAACCAAUAAAUCAACAAUGAAUUUAGUUCCUAUAUUUAUUUCGGAUAAAAUGGACCGAAAUGCACCAACUUGAAUUUCAGAUUCUAUUUCAAACCAUUUUAAUUUCGAAAAAA
rnacentral:misc_RNA from 1 species